rnacentral:rRNA from 1 species
AUUUGAAAUCUGGCUUCGGCCCGAGUUGUAAUUUGCAGAGGAUGUUUCUGGCGCGGUGCCUUCCGAGUUCCCUGGAACGGGACGCCAUAGAGGGUGAGAGCCCCGUAUGGUUGGAUACCAAGCCUGUGUGAAACUCCUUCGACGAGUCGAGUAGUUUGGGAAUGCUGCUCAAAAUGGGAGGUAAAUCUCUUCUAAAGCUAAAUAUUGGCCAGAGACCGAUAGCGCACAAGUAGAGUGAUCGAAAGAUGAAAAGCACCUUGAAAAGGGGGUUAAACAGUACGUGAAAUUGUUGAAAGGGAAGCGCUCAUGACCAGACUUGUGCUGGGCAGCUCAUCCGGGGUUCUCCCCGGUGCAUUCUGCCCAGUUCAGGCCAGCAUCGAUUUUUGCUGGGGGAUAAGAACGGUAGGAACGUGGCCCUCCUUCGGGAGGGUGUUAUAGCCUACCGUACGAUACCCUAGCGGAGAUCGAGGUUCGCGCAUCUGCAAGGAUGCUGGCGUAAUGGUCAUCAGCGACCCGUCUUGAAACACGGACCAAGGAGUCGUCCAUUAGAGCGAGCGUUUGGGUGUAAAACCCGCACGCGUAAUGAAAGUGAAAUUAGGUGAGAGCUUCGGCGCAUCAUCGACCGAUCCUGAUGUUCUCGGAUGGAUUUGAGUAAGAGUUUUAACGGACGGACCCGAAAGACAGUGAACUAUGCUUGUAUAGGGUGAAGCCAGAGGAAACUCUGGUGGAGGC